AGACCGGUCUACUGGUCGUGCUUUUGUACGUACUGGUAUUAUUGGUUUCUCCUUUCUGACGAACUAUAAUGCCAUUAAUUUGGUGUUUUAGGGAAUCAGGACUGUUACUUUGAAAAAAUUAGAGUGUUUAAAGCAAGCUAACGCUUGAAUACAUUAGCAUGGAAUAACGAAAUAGGACGUUUGAUUUUAUUUUGUUGGUUUCUAGGAUCGACGUA
rnacentral:rRNA from 1 species